AGGGAAUCCGGUGGGAAACCGGAGCGGUCGCGCCACUGUGACCGGUCGUCGAAGACGACCGGGAGCCAGACCU
rnacentral:ncRNA from 2 species